GUGGGGAAUAUUGGACAAUGGGCGAAAGCCUGAUCCAGCCAUGCCGCGUGUGUGAAGAAGGUCUUCGGAUUGUAAAGCACUUUAAGUUGGGAGGAAGGGCAGUAAGUUAAUACCUUGCUGUUUUGACGUUACCGACAGAAUAAGCACCGGCUAACUUCGUGUCAGCAGCCGCGGUAAUACGAAGGGUGCAAGCGUUAAUCGGAAUUACUGGGCGUAAAGCGCGCGUAGGUGGAUUUGUAAGUUGGAGGUGAAAUCCCCGGGCUCAACCUGGGAACUGCAUCCAAAACUGCAUGACUAGAGUACGGUAGAGGGUAGUGGAAUUUCCUGUGUAGCGGUGAAAUGCGUAGAUAUAGGAAGGAACACCAGUGGCGAAGGCGACUACCUGGACUGAUACUGACACUGAGGUGCGAAAGCGUGGGGAGCAAACAGGAUUAGAAACCCCAGUAGUCC
rnacentral:rRNA from 1 species